rnacentral:rRNA from 1 species
CACGUAGGGGGCGAGCGUUGUCCGGAUUUAUUGGGCGUAAAGAGCUCGUAGGCGGCUCAGUAAGUCAGGUGUGAAAACUCGAGGCUCAACCUCGAGACGCCGGUGGAAACUGCAAAGCUAGAGUCCGGAAGAGGAGAGUGGAAUUCCUGGUGUAGCGGUGAAAUGCGCAGAUAUCAGGAGGAACACCGGUGGCGAAGGCGGGUCUCUGGGCCGAUACUGACGCUGAGGAGCGAAAGCGUGGGGAGCGAACAGG